UUUUUUUUUUUUGCUGUACCAGACAUCAGCUGACAAGGAACACAUUUAAUAAAUGACAAAAGGAUAGGAAAACACCAGACACAGACAGGUGAUUUAUUACUUAUUGGUGAGGAAACCAGACA